ACCUUGGUGGCUCAGUGGGUUGAGUGCCUGACUUUGGCUCAGUGAGUUCGUGAGUUCGAGCCCCACAUCAGGCU
rnacentral:tRNA from 1 species